UACGAAGGGGGCUAGCGUUGCUCGGAAUCACUGGGCGUAAAGGGUGCGUAGGCGGGUCUUUAAGUCAGGGGUGAAAUCCUGGAGCUCAACCUCCAGAACUGCCUUUGAUACUGAAGAUCUUGAGUUCGGGAGAGGUGAGUGGAACUGCGAGUGUAGAGGUGAAAUUCGUAGAUAUUCGCAAGAACACCAGUGGCGAAGGCGGCUCACUGGCCCGAUACUGACGCUGAGGCACGAAAGCGUGGGGAGCAAACAGG
rnacentral:rRNA from 1 species